CCGGCCCUAAACGGUGCACACUGGGCGUGGGGGGUAUUCACCCCCCCCGUGCCGAAGCUAACGUGUUAAGUGUGCCGCCUGGGGAGUACGGCCGCAAGGCUAAAACUCAAAGAAAUUGACGGGGGCCCGCACAAGCGGAGGAGCAUGUGGCUUAAUUCGAUGCAACGCGAAGAACCUUACCCGGGUUUGACAUGUGACUGCACGUCCCGUGAAAGCGGGAUUCCUUCGAGGGUGUCACACAGGUGC
rnacentral:rRNA from 1 species